CUACGGGCUGCUGCAGUGAGGAAUAUUGCACAAUGGGGGGAACCCUGAUGCAGCAACGCCGCGUGGAGGAUGACGCAUUUCGGUGUGUAAACUCCUUUUAUAUGUCAAGAAAAUGACGGUAGCAUAUGAAUAAGCACCGGCUAACUCCGUGCCAGCAGCCGCGGUAAUACGGAGGGUGCAAGCGUUACUCGGAAUCACUGGGCGUAAAGGACGCGUAGGCGGGUUGGAAAGUCAGGUGUGAAAUCCUACAGCUUAACGGUAGAACUGCACUUGAAACUUCUAAUCUAGAGUAUGGGAGGGGGAGAUGGAAUUAGUGGUGGAGGGGUAAAAUCCGUAGAUAUCACUAGGAAUACCGAAAGCGAAGGCGAUCUCCUGGAACAUUACUGACGCUAAGGCGUGAAAGCGUGGGGAGCAAACAGGAUUAGAUACCCCAGUAGUC
rnacentral:rRNA from 1 species